AUGUCCUUAUUUUUUCUUCAUAGCUAUUUUGUACUUUUAAUUAGUCAUGUUGAACGUAUACAAGUAGAACGUAUAGAAGUUCAUGAAGCGCCAUGUCUAUUUCCCUUUUCAAUUCAAUCUGAUGUUACAUCUUACAUGAAAAAAGAACAUGCAUCCGAGAAGAAACUAUUGUUUCAUUACUACCAGAUUAUAGUACAGAUGGACAUCUACAUAAACAAAACAUACUUUACCAGAAAGAAAGAUCUCCUUCAAGAUAUACUUAGCAAUUCCUGCUACACCGAGGCACACAAACUUCCUCAAGAGAACCCUACCUUUCUCCUUCAAGAUGUCCUGAAUUUUGAAGGUCUGUCCACAAAGCACCGGCCUGGACACAGACAUACGCCAUAA
rnacentral:rRNA from 1 species